ACUCUGGUCGCAAGACCAGAGCGAGUGGCGGACGGGUGAGUAACACAUGGGUACCUACCUUCGAGUGAGGGAUACCGGCGAGAAAUCGCCGACAAUACCGCAUACGCUUCUUCAUAAGGGAAGCAAAGUGGCGCAAGUCACGCCCGAAGAUGGGCCUGUGGCCGAUUAGCUAGUUGGGGGGGUAACGGCCUCCCAAGGCGACGAUCGGUAGCUGGUCUGAGAGGACGAUCAGCCACACUGGGAUUGAGAACGGCCCAGACUCCUACGGGGGGCAGCAGUGAGGAAUUUUCCGCAAUGGAGGCAACUCUGACGGAGCAACGCCGCGUGCAGGAGGAAGGUUUUCGGAUCGUAAACUGCUUUUCUCGGGGACGAGCAAGGACGGUACCCGAGGAAGAAGCCCCGGCUAACUACGUGCCAGCA
rnacentral:rRNA from 1 species